GGGGGUAUAGUCUAGUUGGUAAAACUCUAACCUUGCAUGUUAGUAUCCCAGGUUCGAUUCCUGGUACCUCCA